rnacentral:rRNA from 1 species
UCAUAUGCUUGUCUCAAAGAUUAAGCCAUGCAUGUCUAAGUACGUGCCUCAGAAAGGUGAAACCGCGAAUGGCUCAUUAAAUCAGUUAUGGUUCCUUAGAUCGUACCUCACUACUUGGAUAACUGUGGUAAUUCUAGAGCUAAUACAUGCAGCAGAGCUCCGACCUUCGGGGACGAGCGCUUUUAUUAGACCAAGACCAAUCGGACCUCGGUCCGAAGCCUGUGGUGACUCUGGAUAACUUUGGGCUGAUCGCACGGUCUCGCACCGGCGACGCAUCUUUCAAGUGUCUGCCUUAUCAACUUUCGAUGGUAGGUUAUGCGCCUACCAUGGUCGUAACGGGUAACGGGGAAUCAGGGUUCGAUUCCGGAGAGGGAGCCUGAGAAACGGCUACCACAUCCAAGGAAGGCAGCAGGCGCGCAAAUUACCCACUCCCGGCACGGGGAGGUAGUGACGAAAAAUAACAAUACGGGACUCUAUUGAGGCCCCGUAAUUGGAAUGAGUACACUCUAAAUCCUUUAACGAGGAUCUAUUGGAGGGCAAGUCUGGUGAGCUCGUAGUUGGAUCUCAGUUCCAGACGGGUGGUCCACCCCUGGUGGCUACUGCCUGGCCUGAACAAAUCCAGCCGGUUUUCCUUGAUGCUCUUCACCGAGUGUCUUGGGUGACCGGCACGUUUACUUUGAAAAAAUUAGAGUGCUCAAAGCAGGCGUGACGCCUGAAUAAUGGUGCAUGGAAUAAUGGAAUAGGACCUCGGUUCUAUUUUGUUGGUUUUCGGAACACGAGGUAAUGAUUAAGAGGGACAGACGGGGGCAUUCGUAUUGCGACGCUAGAGGUGAAAUUCUUGGACCGUCGCAAGACGAACUACU